GCAGAAGUAGUUCAGCGGGAGAAUACAACCUUGCCAAGGUUGGGGUCGCGGGUUCGAAUCCCGUCUUCUGCUCCA
rnacentral:tRNA from 1 species